rnacentral:rRNA from 1 species
UACAGAGGUCCCAAGCGUUGUUCGGAUUCACUGGGCGUAAAGGGUGCGUAGGUGGUUAGGUAAGUCCGAUGUGAAAUCUCCAGGCUCAACCUGGAAAUGGCAUUGGAUACUAUCUAGCUUGAGGAGUGGAGGGGGGACUGGAAUUCUCGGUGUAGCAGUGAAAUGCGUAGAUAUCGAGAGGAACACCAGUGGCGAAGGCGAUCACCUGGGGUUGUUCUGACGCUGAGGAGCGAAAGCUAGGGGAGCAACGGGG